UGGGGAAUUUUGGACAAUGGGCGCAAGCCUGAUCCAGCCAUGCCGCGUGUCUGAAGAAGGCCUUCGGGUUGUAAAGGACUUUUGUCAGGGAAGAAAAGGAUAGGGUUAAUACCCCUGUCUGAUGACGGUACCUGAAGAAUAAGCACCGGCUAACUACGUGCCAGCAGCCGCGGUAAUACGUAGGGUGCGAGCGUUAAUCGGAAUUACUGGGCGUAAAGCGGGCGCAGACGGUUACUUAAGCAGGAUGUGAAAUCCCCGGGCUCAACCUGGGAACUGCGUUCUGAACUGGGUGACUAGAGUGUGUCAGAGGGAGGUAGAAUUUCACGUGUAGCAGUGAAAUGCGUAGAGAUGUGGAGGAAUACCGAUGGCGAAGGCAGCCUCCUGGGAUAACACUGACGUUCAUGCCCGAAAGCGUGGGUAGCAAACAGGAUUAGAUACCCUGGUAGUCCACGCCCUAAACGAUGUCGAUUAGCUGUUGGGCAGCUUGACUGCUUAGUAGCGAAGCUAACGCGUGAAAUCGACCGCCUGGGGAGUACGGUCGCAAGAU
rnacentral:rRNA from 1 species